CCACACAUUUGCUAACCUGUCGGUUCUGGAGGAAUCAGACCCCUGCUUGGACCACCCCCUCCUUGUGCUCUGAGGUUUCUUCCACGUUGCUCUCUUGUUCCCUUGCCUUUGCUUCUGCCCUUUCAGAGCUCAUAUGGAUCCGGGCACUGCUUCCUGGCUUUACCUGUUGACAACUGCCCAGUACAUUGGGGAAAGGGUACUGCGGAAACAGUCACUUGCUCACGGUGCCCCAUGUGUGUGGGUUCCUGGGACCAGGGAGAGAGUCCCAGAAGAAUGCAGGCAGGAAGGAGGGUGCAGGAAGUCUCCCACCCAGGCUUUUGUAGAUUUAAGGCUUGUUUUUUGGUCCCUUUGUCUCAAGCACUUAGCAUUAUGCUUGGGCAAUGGUAGAUGCUUAGGAAAUGAAAGCCCAGGCCCGGCUGUGAUUGGCAGUUAGGUGUCUGGUUCUGCCAUGACUUUUGUCUGUGCAAGGCUGAAUCAUUUCAGGAGACUUUGCAUUUUUGGAGUUGGCAUUUUUGCUCAGUCUCACCCUUUUUUAAUGUGGCUCCAGAAAAAGGGCCUUUGGAAAGGAGCGCCUUCUUCAUAUGGGGAUACACCCCUCAGGAGAAACACCCACUUUAGAGAGAGAGAGAGAGAAAGAGAGAGAGAGCUUGGGACUGAAGCACAACUUAUAGAGAAGACAGGCCUGGCUGCCCCGCCCAGUGUUCCCUUAAGUAAGCCAAGCUUGCCUCAGUACUGGGUCUUGGCCCAGGAUGGAGAGUAUCCACUAAUGAGGCAAGUGACUUCGAGAAGAUCAAAAUAAUUAGUCAGUUCUCACUGCAAACAUGAGUCACCACUUAAAGACAUCAUGUUCUGGUUGGCGAGCUAGGGGGUUGAGACAGAAGACUCCUGGCUCCUACUCCCCAGGGGUGCCAAGUAUGUCUGAGAAGCCUACUAGCUGUGGAUAAUGGAGUCAGACUUGAGUUCCACUCUGCCUGCUUUUGGCUUUCUCUCCUUCCGUAUCCAGUGGAAAGGGAUACACAUCCAGGGACUAGCACAGGUGACCUGGAUGCAGAUGGGCAUUCUGGCAUAGAGGAAAGCUAGCGCUGUUUGCCAGCCCCCUCUGUCUCUGGAGAGCUUGACAGGCCUGCAGGGGCUUCCAGGGAGUGUUUGGUGGCCUCUUUCUAGCCAGAGUGACACCAGUUCCAUCCAGCUCAGGGACAGGGAGAAGGGCUGGGUAUUCUCUGGAUCCUGGAUAGUCCUAUUUGGCAAGAGGGGAAGCCCUUGGCCUUGGGGGGGCAAGUUUACAUCACACAGCUUUUCCCUGGUGAGUCAAGUGGGUGAGUUGACCUGGGUCUGGGGAACUGGUUGGCCUCUUUUCUAAAGGCUGGCUGGGAGUAGGGAGGCCUGGUGAGGUCACAAGUUCUGAGCCUGUCUGGCCAAAGUCAGAGGUGGGUCUGAUGGAGCAGAACUUACUUUAGAACCAAGAACACUGGCCCCAGAGAGACAUAGCCUGGGACCUCUGUUCGCAUGAGUAGCCAUUCCAGCCAGAUGUCAAACGGGAUGGCACAGAUGAUACCACACCACUGCCACUGCUUGAGCAAGCAUGUGCUGUGUAGUGUGUCUGGCCUGGGUGAGUGAGGGCUGACCAAGGAAGAAAGUAUGCAUGCUCUUCUAGUGGAAAAAAAAUCCCACAACGGGACCCUCUUCUGUCACUUUCUGAGUAGGUGACCAUAGGAAUAUCACUUAAAUUCCCUGGACUUCUCUCACUCUCUCUCCUCCCGCCACCCCUCUUCCCUGUGGAUGUUUUUUGAAUGCUCAUUGGGAUGUAAGUGCAAGAGAUGCAGUAGGGAGCCAUAUAGAGAAGGUGGACAUUUAAUAUGAAGACAAAGAGGAAAGAGAAGUGGAGCAGACAUCCUAAGUAAGACAACUUCAAAUUUCCCUAAGCGCUAUAAAGAAGACUGUGUUAUGAGCGGGACAUAUGUAGGUGUGUGAGAACCUUAGAUCACAUAGGAGAGAGGUCUCCGAGAGGGAGUCCUGUGUGGACUUGAUGGGCCUGGGAGAAAGUCAUAGGUAGGGGAAUUGAGAAGAUAAUGGCCCUCAGGUGAGCAAGCCCAACCUGCAGGCGGCCAUAAUAAUGCUUUUGCUUGCAUGGAAGGAAAGAACUAUUGUUGUGUUGCAACAUGUAAAUGCCGGUGUCAUUUGCUAGUGUUUAGUAGUCUCCUAACUGAUAGCAUGUGAGUCACUGUAAUAGGGCAGAUCUGAAGCAGAUGUGGGAUGGACUUGAGUACUGAAGAGUAAAUGUGCUGCCUGCCUCCACACUGGAACUCGUAGAACAGCUAAAGGGACACUUGCCUCCACCCAAGCUUAAUGUUGCGGUGAUUUCAGCUCUUCUAGCUGUGAGCCAGAGGUCCUGUCUCCUUUAAUGUUAGCUCUGAGGAGUAUUUCCAGAUUAUUGUCACCAGGAGCUCUUGGUCCUCUAAUUAAGUAGUAAUGUGCUUGUCCAAUAAGUACCAUAUGGUUGCAAUGAAUCAAGACCAGAUUAUCUUAGCUAUAAAAAUUAAUAUUAGUAUUGAUGACAGUAACACUAGCAAUUUUAUGUUUUUUUUCUUCUUAAGAGCUCAGAAUAUAAGUAUUAAAAAUGAAAUUAAAGGGUAAAGAAAUAUCUGCAGAGAAGGCAGAGGAUUGGCUUUAGACUCCAAGAAGAGACUCAAACACUCCUAUUUUAUUUUAUUUUAUUUUAUUUUAUUUUAUUUUAUUUUAUUUCAUUAAAAAACUCCAACCAUGUAAAGAUAGCUAUUCCUCUCUAACAAUAAUUGGGACAGUGACAGGAUCAGGGAAGCAUGCUUAUCAGUGCCACAGAGAAGGGAUGUGACACAAAUAAAAGACUAAAGAUAAUUGUCUUGCACAACCUGACAAGAGGGGAGAAAAUCAGAAUAGAUUGGCGCUCUUGAACCUUGUCUGGAAGGAGGACAGUUUGGAAAGUGAAAGAAUUUCCCAGAUUGGGAGGGGCAGGUGAAGGCAGGGGGAGGGAGAAGAUUCGUCAGGAAGUAAUGAGUGACAGGGGCAGUUCCUGUUAAGAGACUGGCAUUAAUUCAGGAGACAGCAGGAUGUAACAUGAGCUGUUAGAAGUGAGGUGAUGUCCAAGUGAGGGAUGGGAUGAUGGGGCACACAGGUGAAAGGUCAGGUGACAACCUGCCCACACAAAGGGUGGGAUGACAAUGACCAAGGGAAGGGCGGGUGACAGUAACCCAAGUGAGGGGGCAUGUCAGGGUGUCUAGGGGAAAGGUUUGCUCAAGGGAAGCUUGCCCUGGUGAAGGAGGUGGGAGUUUUGUACAGGACUCUCUUGGUUAGGAGUGAUGUCCAAGCACAAACAUUUCCAUGCGUCACUUGCCCCUAAUAUACGUUUCCACUGAGCCGAGAGAGAGAGAGAGAGAUGAUGGUUGGCUGGCUGGCAUGCAUAGGCAGGUGAGAGUUUGCGUUGUGGGUUUAAAGGGCAAUAGGAAAGAGCUGCCAGGCACAAACUUCCACGCAGCUCCUAAGAAAACUGGAGACAAGUUAUUUGUUCAGCCCUCCAUUUCUAGAAAGGUCUAUCACCAGAAAGAAUUUUUUUUUUAAUCCAUUUGGUAUUAGUGAGUUGGUUGUUAAAUGCUGAUCUCAGUCCAUCAGAGUUUGGGUGUAGGGUGAUUUUUCAAUGCAUCAUCUUUCUUGUUUGAGGUGGUACUAAUAACAAUAUAGGAACAGCAGGGAUAGACCCACUGGCUCAGGUAAGCCAGACACUUUCGCCACCCUGUGUAUGAUCUCUGAGAUGCAUAGCACACCGUUGGCAAGCAGCCACUAUGAAAAUGAACAGUAUAUGCUAGGCGUCUUUUGCCAUGAGUGGGACUCCCUUCCUCCCUUCCUGAACACAUUGUCCUUGUCACAAGGCCUGUCGCCUGUACCGGAUUAGGUUUGUGUCUCAGUUUCCCAGCAAAGUGGGAGGGGGUGAUGGACAGUUGUCUGUCCCUUGCAGUUGUAAUCAAGCUGAGAAAACGGGUUGUGGCUAGACAGAGAGAGCACAUCAGCUGUCAGCACGAUUCUCCCAGUGACUUGCUACUUUGUUUCCUCAUCUGGAAGCAGGGGCAAUAAUACCCGCCUUUUAAGGGCCUGGAAUUCAAUGAAAGUUACCUCUAUACUCCCGGACACUCAAUACCAGACAUCAAAGGGUGGCUUUAAUACCUUCCAUGCAAGUUUGCAGAUUUAUUGCACAAUUUAUUUAGAUGUGUAAUACCUCUCCAUAGUGGCAGAGGAAUUGCCCGAGGGGAAGGAAACAAAUGAGAGCAAUAUGUGUCCUUACAUGGGAAAAGAGGAGCAGGGUCCCACAGUGACAAGAGAGCCAGACUCCUUGGUACCCUCAGGCAGUUAAACUCCCAGAAGCACGAGAGCAGGUGGCCUUCCUUUAGGAUGAAAAGCAGAGGGGCUUUCUUUCUCAUCUAAUUAUUAGCCAGGCCUGACCCUGCUUAGCGUCCAAGAUCAGAUUAGAUGCAGCCAUCUCAGCAUCCAGAGAGCCUUUUCACUGGCGAGGAUUCAGCUUUGCUUGGAACUCCUGCUCCGUGACAGUCUACUUAGAAUUUUCUGGAGUUUAGCAGCCAGGAGGGCCUGCUACAAGCCUCGAUCUCCUGCCAAUGGAUUGUUCUUCUUUGUUUUCAUCUCCUUUCUGGGUUUGCCUAUGGAACCAACGCAACCAGAGACACACUCAUUCUUAACAGAAGAGGGAUUUAAAAAAGUAAAACGAUAAACCAAAUCUAACUCAA